GGGGAAUUUUCCGCAAUGGGCGAAAGCCUGACGGAGCAAUACCGCGUGAGGGAGGAAGGCUCUUGGGUUGUAAACCUCUUUUCUCAGGGAAUAAUAAGUUGAAGGUACCUGAGGAAUCAGCAUCGGCUAACUCCGUGCCAGCAGCCGCGGUAAUACGGAGGAUGCAAGCGUUAUCCGGAAUGAUUGGGCGUAAAGGGUCCGCAGGUGGUGUUUCAAGUCGGCUGUUAAAGAAUCUGGCUCAACUAGAUAAAGGCAGUGGAAACUGAAAGACUAGAGUAAGGUAGGGGUAGAGGGAAUUCCCAGUGUAGCGGUGAAAUGCGUAGAGAUUGGGAAGAACACCGGUGGCGAAAGCGCUCUGCUGGACUAUUACUGACACUGAGGGACGAAAGCUAGGGGAGCGAAUGGGAUUAGAUACCCCAGUAGUCCUAGCCGUAAACGAUGGAUACUAGGCGUUACGCGUAUCGACCCGCGUAGUGCCGGAGCCAACGCGUUAAGUAUCCCGCCUGGGGAGUACGCACGCAAGUGUGAAACUCAAAGGAAUUGACGGGGGCCCGCACAAGCGGUGGAGUAUGUGGUUUAAUUCGAUGCAACGCGAAGAACCUUACCAGGGCUUGACAUGUCGCGAAUUGAGGUGAAAGCUUCAAGUGCCUUAGGGAGCGCGAACACAGGUGGUGCAUGGCUGUCGUCAGCUCGUGUCGUGAGAUGUUGGGUUAAGUCCCGCAACGAGCGCAACCCUCGUACUUAGUUGCCAUCAUUAAGUUGGGAACUCUAAGAAGACUGCCGGUGACAAACCGGAGGAAGGUGGGGAUGACGUCAAGUCAGCAUGCCCCUUACGUCCUGGGCUACACACGUACUACAAUGCUAUGGACAGAGGGCAGCAAGCUAGCAAUAGCAAGCAAAUCUCAGAAACCAUGGCUCAGUUCAGAUCGCAGGCUGCAACUCGCCUGCGUGAAGGUGGAAUCGCUAGUAAUUGCAGGUCAGCAUACUGCAGUGAAUUCGUUCCCGGGCCUUGUACACACCGCCCGUCACACCAUGGAAGCUGGUAGUGCCCGAAGUCGUUACUCUAACCAUUCGUGGGAGAGGAUGCCGAAGGCAGGACUGGUGACUGGGGUGAAGUCGUAACAAGGUAGCCGUACCGGAAGGUGUGGCUGGAUCACCUCCUUUUAGGGAGACCAACUUUUCAGCUUCGCAGUGAACAGUGAGCAGUGACCGAAACAAAAGGGAACUCAAAGCUGGAAAAAACAGUGAACUGAAAGGACAUCCCAGGUCGUGCGAGGAAAAGUAGGCUUUCAAACUAAUGUUUGGUUCGUUCAGAUUGAGAUUUGAGAAAUCGUCAACCGAUAAAAAUAGCGGCGAAAAUUCAGCAACUUGUGACGGCAAGGAAGCAAGAAUGCUGGAUAAAACUCCAGCCAGAACCUUGAAAACUGCAUAGAAAUGCGAUUAGGGCUAAGAGCUAAAAGCUAAAAGCUAAUUGUUUAGAACUAUUAGCCAUUAGCCAUUAGCUUUUUAGCCAAACAUAGUGGUCAAGUUAAUAAGGGCUCAUGGUGGAUACCUAGGCACACAGAG
rnacentral:misc_RNA from 1 species